rnacentral:rRNA from 1 species
AGUGAACGCUGGCGGUAGGCCUAACACAUGCAAGUCGAACGGCAGCACAGGAGAGCUUGCUCUCUGGGUGGCGAGUGGCGGACGGGUGAGGAAUACAUCGGAAUCUACUCCGUCGUGGGGGAUAACGUAGGGAAACUUACGCUAAUACCGCAUACGACCUACGGGUGAAAGCAGGGGACCUUCGGGCCUUGCGCGAUUGCAUGAGCCGAUGUCGGAUUAGCUAGUUGGCGGGGUAAAGGCCCACCAAGGCGACGAUCCGUAGCUGGUCUGAGAGGAUGAUCAGCCACACUGGAACUGGGACACGGUCCAGACUCCUACGGGAGGCAGCAGUGGGGAAUAUUGGACAAUGGGCGCAAGCCUGAUCCAGCCAUACCGCGUGGGUGAAGAAGGCCUUCGGGUUGUAAAGCCCUUUUGUUGGGAAAGAAAUCCAGCUGGCUAAUACCCGGUUGGGAUGACGGUACCCAAAGAAUAAGCACCGGCUAACUUCGUGCCAGCCGCCGCCGUAA